UCAAGGUGGAAGGGGGAAGAGGGGGGGGGGAGUUUGCCUAUUUUAGAGGGAUGGCCACGUGAGGUGGCAGUCCGGCGGUGAGUAGCGGAUUGGGCAGGUGGCAAGGUGGCGUUGACACUGUCGUUGCCGCGUGGCUGGUGCUGGUAGCGAGGGUAAAGUAGAAGGACAUUAGGAUGUAACGUCCCGCCUCCCCCAGGCCGGGCCCACUUACAUCUGAUAGCUUUCAUAGGUCAUAGACUGCCCUCACAGACCAACACAUAUCUUUUCUGCACACUUUGUCCUCACUCAUGUGCACCCGGGUUCCCGGUCGGUCACCCAUCCCUGCCCUCACAGACCAACACAUAUCUUUUCUGCACACUUUGUCCUCACUCAUGUGCACCCGGGUUCCCGGUCGGUCACCCAUCCCAAAUUGCUCCAGGCCAAGCACGCUUAACCCUGGAGUUCUUUGGAGAUUGGCUUCCGGAAAAGAAGUUGCAACUUGUUGAUAUGAGUAUUCUAUUAAUCCUAUUAAGCCCUAGGCUGGGAUGUUACACCCUCACCCCCUUAAGAGAGAUCGACGCCCCCGUCGAUCAACCCUAGGCCAGGAACGUCCUCUCUUGGCCACGUCCAUGUGUCCAGUGCCAGCGCAUGUGCCAUGCUGUGUAACCACUCCCGGUCUACACCAGCCAUGCGCACCAUGCCUGCGCAACUGCGACACACGCGCCCGUGAAACCGCGAGAGUCGGCUCUGAUACCAUUUUGUAACGUCCCGCCUCCCCCAGGCCGGGCCCACUUACAUCUGAUAGCUUUCAUAGGUCAUAGACUGCCCUCACAGACCAACACAUAUCUUUUCUGCACACUUUGUCCUCACUCAUGUGCACCCGGGUUCCCGGUCGGUCACCCAUCCCAAAUUGCUCCAGGCCAAGCACGCUUAACCCUGGAGUUCUUUAGAUAUUGGCUUCCGGAAAAGAAGUU
rnacentral:lncRNA from 1 species